GCGAUCUCGCGAUCACCGCCAGCAAUGCCGCUGGAGAAAGUGAAGCAAUAAAUGUCACAAAAAUGGUGACGCACGCACGCAGGAGAAGAGAUCUCCAAGAACAGAUGUCACUGAAUGGAAGCAUCUCAGCUCCCGUGUUGGAUGUCAC